GGCCAUGUGGCCCAAUGGCAAGGCGCUUGACUACGAUUCAGUCGAAAUCAAGAGAUUCCAGGUAUGUGCUUACAGCUGAAGAGCUCUCAUCCGUGAUUACUAAUCCGACUUAGGUUCGACCCCUGGCAUGGUCA